rnacentral:rRNA from 1 species
AUUGUAGUCAUAUGCUUGUCUCAAAGAUUAAGCCAUGCAUGUCUAAGUAUAAGCAACUUUGUACUGUGAAACUGCGAAUGGCUCAUUAAAUCAGUUAUAGUUUAUUUGAUGGUUUUUGCUACAUGGAUAACUGUGGUAAUUCUAGAGCUAAUACAUGCAUUCAAGCCCCGACUUCUGGAAGGGGUGUAUUUAUUAGAUAAAAAUCAACUUUGUUGGUGAAUCAUAAUAACUUCUCGGACCGCAUGGCCUCGUGCUGGCGGUGCUUCAUUCAAAUAUCUGCCCUAUCAACUGUCGAUGGUAGGAUAGAGGCCUACCAUGGUUGCAACGGGUAACGGGGAAUAAU